rnacentral:rRNA from 1 species
UACGUAGGGUGCAAGCGUUGUCCGGAAUUAUUGGGCGUAAAGAGCUCGUAGGCGGCUUGUCGCGUCGGCUGUGAAAACCCGGGGCUCAACUCCGGGCCUGCAGUCGAUACGGGCUGGCUUGAGUGCGGUAGGGGAGACUGGAAUUCCUGGUGUAGCGGUGAAAUGCGCAGAUAUCAGGAGGAACACCGGUGGCGAAGGCGGGUCUCUGGGCCGUAACUGACGCUGAGGAGCGAAAGCGUGGGGAGCGAACAGG